rnacentral:lncRNA from 1 species
ACACCGAGGGAAUGGCAGCUGGAAAGAGAGGCACGCGACAGGCCUAAGGAGACCCGUGGCACGUAGCAGCUGCCCCCGGAACAGCGCCUGGGGGCUCUGCAGGCGCUGACCAGUUUCCCGGAGGCGGCGGCCGCGGACCCAGCACGGUCACCGUCGCCGCUGCCGAGAAGAGCCGUCGGGUCGCGAUGGGUGGACAGGCCUUCCGGGGGAGCGUCGCCCGGCACAUACCCUGACAGUCCCGACCGCAGACGCCAGGGAUGGGACAGGCUCCCGGGGAGCAUCUCCUGUUCCUCCUCCCUGACCGGCCUUCUUAGGCGCUGGGGAGGGGCCGGACUCCCGAGAAGCGUCCACUCGGCCACCCUCCCCGGCAGGCCCGACUUCAGACGCCGCGCGCCGGGACAGAGCGCCCGGGGAGGGUCCCCAACGCAGAUGCCCGGUUGCUGGGCGCGAGGGGCUCGGCCCCUGAAAAGGCCGCAGAACUGCGCUGGAAAUGAAUAAAAGCAGCCCGGUUUGAAACCAAGGCCGACGCAGGGCUUGGGAGGAGAGGCAAAGGAAAACCCUUACCUCAUGAUGGCAGCGCUCUGCAGGCCGUCCGGGCGGCGCAGUCCCUCGGAUCGCUCUCUCCUCAGCACCGGGGACCGCGGGAAGCCGCGCGGUGGGCGUGCGCGUGCGCGUGCGCGCGCCAGGCCUCUGCAGCCCCUGGACUCGGCCGCGCGGCGUGUCUUUGUUAAAGGAGAGACCCCAGCCCCAGCAAGAACAGGAAACUGGAGAUUGAAUCAGAUGCCGAGCGCUCAGAAACUGAAACUUAAGAAAUCGAAACUAAACUAGGUUUUUGGUCUUGGUGACUUCAAGAAUGAAGCUGCGGACUCUCGCUGUGAGUGCUACAGUUGUUAAAGAUGGCGUGUCUGGAGUUUGUUCCUUUCGAUGUUCAGAUGUGUCUGGAGUUUCUUCCUUCUGGUGAGUUCGUGGUCUUGCUGACUUCAGGAGUGCAGCUGCAGACCUUCACAGUGAGUGUUACAGAUCUUAAAGGUGGCGCGUCCGGAGUUGUUCGUUCCUCCCGGUGGGUUCGUGGUUUCACUGACUUCAGGAGUAAAGCCGUAGACCUUUGUGGUGAGUGUUACAGCUCAUAAAGGCAGUGUGGACCCAAAGAGUGAGCAGCAGCAAGAUUCGUUGCGAAGAGCGAAAGAACAAAACUUCCACGACGUGGAAGCAGACCCGAGCAGGUUGCCGCUGCUGGCUGGGGUGGCCUGCUUUUAUUCCCUUAUUUGGCUCCACCCAUAUCCUGCUGAUUGGUCCAUUUUACAGAGAGCUGAUUGGUCCACUUUACAAAGUGCUGAUUGGUCCAUUUUACAGAGUGCUGAUUGGUCCAUUUUACAGAGUGCUGAUUGGUCCAUUUUGACAGAGUGCUGAUUGGUGCGUUUACAAACUUUUAGCUACACACAGAGUGCUGAUUGGUGCGUUUACAAUCCUUUAGCUAGACAGAAAAGUUCUCUGAGUCCCCACCUGACCCAGAAGCCCAGCCAGCUUCACCUCUCAAUCCCCCCUCUAAACAGGACACCCCAAUUGCUGAUGGGAAUUUGGCUGAUGACUGCUCUAGCUACUUUCUGCUGGAUAGGGGCGAAGAAGGGGCCCUGUAGGUGUAGUGUCCUCCAGAGGGGAACUCUUUAGGCCAGUGGAAGGGCCAGCAGGUCAGUCCAGGGGUCCUCGGUAGAAGUUGUUAGUUGAACUCAUUUGGGGUUCCAUUUGUAAGACCAUCUGUAGCUUGAGGGCCUCAAUUCUAGAGGAAACAAAUUUGACAAGAAGGUUAAAAACACAGGGCCCAAAGACAAGUAACAGCAAGAUGGCUGCCACAGGACCUAGAAAGGGGAG